rnacentral:rRNA from 1 species
GACGAACGCUGGCGGCGUGCUUAACACAUGCAAGUCGAAUGGAAAGGCCUGCUUUCCCUUGUGGAUUGCGGGUACUCGAGUGGCGAACGGGUGAGUAACACGUGAGUGAUCUGCCCCCAACUUGGGUAUAAGCCUGGGAAACUGGGUCUAAUUCCCGAUAGGACUGCAGGGUGGUGCCUGUGGUGGAAAACGAUUUUCUAGUGGUUGGGGAUGAGCUCGCGGCCUAUCAGCUUGUUGGUGGGGUAAUGGCCUACCAAGGCGGCGACGGGUAGCCGGCCUGAGAGGGUGGACGGCCACAUUGGGACUGAGAUACGGCCCAGACUCCUACGGGAGGCAGCAGUGGGGAAUAGUGCACAAUGGGCGGAAGCCUGAUGCAGCGACGCCGCGUGGGGGAUGACGGCCUUCGGGUUGUAAACUCCUUUCGACCGCGAGGAAGCCACCUGGUUGGAAGGGUGGUGACGGUAGUGGUAGAAGAAGCACCGGCUAACUACGUG